GUGCAAAGGUAGCAUAAUCAUUUGCUUUUUAAUUGAAGGCUAGAAUGAAAGGACACACAAGGAUAAAACUGUCUCUCUUAAAUUAAAUAUAAACUGAUAAUUAGGUGAAGAAGCCUAAAUUAUAAUAAAGGACAAAAAGACCCUAUAGAGCUUUACUGGCUAGAGUAUUAUACUCAAUAUCAGGUUGGUUGGGACAACCAAAAGACAUUAUCACCUCUUUUUAAAAUUAUAAAAUACUUACCCAAUAAUGUAUAAAAAAUAGCUACCUUAGGGAUAACAGGCUAAUCCCACUAGAGAGAUCACAUUGACAGUGGGGGUUGGCACCUCGAUGUUGGCUUAGUGUAACUAUUAGGCGCAGUCGCCUAAUAAGUUGGUUUGUUCAACCAUUAAAUCACUACGUGAUC
rnacentral:rRNA from 1 species